rnacentral:rRNA from 1 species
UACGAAGGGGGCUAGCGUUGCUCGGAAUCACUGGGCGUAAAGCGCACGUAGGCGGCUUCUUAAGUCAGGGGUGAAAUCCUGGGGCUCAACCCCAGAACUGCCCUUGAUACUGAGGAGCUUGAGUCCGGGAGAGGUGAGUGAAACUCCGAGUGUAGAGGUGAAAUUCGUAGUUAUUCGGAAGAACACUAGGGGCGAAGGCGGCUCACUGGCCCGGUACUGACGCUGAGGUGCCAAAGAGUGGGGAGGAAACAGG